CCUAAGCUGUGGCACCCAGAACCAAACACGGCACUCCAUACAUGAUCUGACAAGGACAGAGCACAGUGAAACUUUCACUUCCUCUGAGAGACCAAAUGGCCAGAACAUUCAGACUGUGGUGGAAAGGAAAAAGAGACUCAGGAAGCAUGUAUUGUACUAUCACAAGGGAGGAGUGGAGGGCCUGGAGGCCACCAGGAAGACCAACAACAGGCUACCAUGGGUGAAUGGAUAUUCCAUGACUGAAGUGUCCAAGCAUGUGUCCUGUGAAUGCAAGUCUUCCAAAGGUCCUAUUAGAGUUAAAAGUUGAAUGGCAGCAGUAAUUGUAGCAUCUGUUAGAGGGUCAAUGGAUAAAUGCAGAUGAAUCUACAAUGAGAGCAGAGAAACAUACUGAGGGCAAAUAGACAUGGAGCCAACCAAAGAAAAGUAACUUAAGGACAAGAGGCCCUUCUUUGCUGAGAGAAAUGCUGUACUCUAGAAAGCCAGUGACUUCAGAGCCCAGGUAGAGAGCUUAAUGGAACUUCACAAUGAUGCUACAAAGGGAGAAAAGUACUUCCAUUGAAGGAAUUUUGAAUUACCCUUUUAUAUUCUCUAUACAGGUGCCUCACUACCAUUACACAUCAGGUUUUGACUCAUUCUACCCAUGGAUAUUGUAUGUAUUUGUGGAAGAAUCUGCCCCGAGUUUUGGGGAAAAUGUUUUUGUACCAACAAUUCUU